rnacentral:rRNA from 1 species
AACGAACGCUGGCGGCAGGCCUAACACAUGCAAGUCGAACGCCCGUAGCAAUACGGGAGUGGCAGACGGGUGAGUAACGCGUGGGAACGUGCCCUUCGGUUUGGAAUAACUCAGGGAAACUUGAGCUAAUACCAAAUACGUCCGUAAGGAGAAAGAUUUAUCGCCGAAGGAUCGGCCCGCGUCGGAUUAGCUAGUUGGUGAGGUAACGGCCCACCAAGGCGACGAUCCGUAGCUGGUCUGAGAGGAUGAUCAGCCACACUGGGACUGAGACACGGCCCAGACUCCUACGGGAGGCAGCAGUGGGGAAUAUUGGACAAUGGGCGAAAGCCUGAUCCAGCCAUGCCGCGUGAGUGAAGAAGGCCUUAGGGUUGUAAAGCUCUUUCAGCGGGGAAGAUAAUGACGGUACCCGCAGAAGAAGCCCCGGCUAACUUCGUGCCAGCCGCCGCUGU